rnacentral:rRNA from 1 species
GACGAACGCUGGCGGCGUGCUUAACACAUGCAAGUCGAACGGAAAGGCCCUGCUUUUGUGGGGUGCUCGAGUGGCGAACGGGUGAGUAACACGUGAGUAACCUGCCCUUGACUUUGGGAUAACUUCAGGAAACUGGGGCUAAUACCGGAUAGGAGCUCCUGCUGCAUGGUGGGGGUUGGAAAGUUUCGGCGGUUGGGGAUGGACUCGCGGCUUAUCAGCUUGUUGGUGGGGUAGUGGCUUACCAAGGCUUUGACGGGUAGCCGGCCUGAGAGGGUGACCGGCAACAUUGGGACUGAGAGCAGGUCGAGAGGCCUACGGGAGGGAGCAGGGGGGAAUAGGGAACAAGGGGCGGAAGCCUGAUGCAGAAACGCCGCGUGCGGGAGGAUGGCAUGCGGGUGGUAAAACAAUUGCGCCGGUGACGAAGCGGGAGUGAGGGGAAGGGGGAAAGAAGCAAGGGCUAACUAAGUG